CCAUCGAAUCCUCUAGACAGAAAGGUUCAAGGCCCAACAAAUGCACAACAAAAUAGUUUUACAAGUGCAGGUGUACAGCAAAAAGGCCCAACAAGUACAUAAUCACACAUCAACAUAGUUCGACAAAGAUUGGAUGAGAAGCACAAGUUUUUGUUGAUCACACAUAACAUCAAUGAUAAACGAAGCUUCUUGUUCCCUCCUCCUGUCCUGUCCUCUACUUCUUCUGGGUGCUUCAGA
rnacentral:lncRNA from 1 species